rnacentral:rRNA from 1 species
UGACUAUACAAAGGUAUUGAAAUAAGACUUUAAUUGAGUGCUAAAAGAAUGGAUUAACGGAAAAAUUCUUUUUUAAUUUCAAAAAUUGAAGUUAUUUUUGUCAGUGAAGAAACUACAAUAAAAAUUAAGGACAAGAAGACCCUAAGAAUUUUUAAUAAUUUUAAAAAAGUUUUUUUUUAAAUUAUUUUAAUUGGGGCGAUUAACAAAAAUAAGAAACUUUAUUUUUCCAAAAAAAUGAACCAUUAAUAAUGGUCAUAUGAAAAAAAUACUCUAGGGAUAACAGCGUAAUAAUUUUAGAUAGUUCUUAUAGACAAAAUAGUUUGCGACCUCGAUGUUGGAUUAGGAUUCUUAUUUAAUGAAGAAGUUAAAAAAAGAAGUUUGUUCAACUUUUAAAAUCCUACUUGAUCUGA